CCUAAAAGCUUAUAUAAAAUUUAAAUUAAUUAAAAAUUAAAUUUAAAUUAAUUAAAAGUUAAAAUUUGUACUAUAGUACAAGAAAGUGUCCAUUUCAGUAUACCUUUGCCAGCAUGAGGUAUUAUAAUGAAAUAGGUUAUUUUUAGUUUGACUAUUUUGUAGAGAUAAAAGACCUCACUAUUAUUUUUACUUGUUUGUCAAAAUUCACUAUUUUUCCUUAUGUUAAUUAGAUCAAUUUUUUCUAAAUUAUCUGUCCAUGUUUUCCCCGCAUCUAUUUAUAGAUUUAAUGUAUCAGUUUGAAGAUCUAUUUAUUUAAUAUUUUUUUAAAUUAUAAAAAUAGUAAAUGCUUACUUUUAAAUGAAGAUGUGAAAAUUUUCUCUCCACUCCUUAGCUCCAUGCCCUUAUUUUAAGAAAUAAUUACUGUUAACAAUUUGGAGCAUAUUCUUCCAGAUACACACUCACAAAGCAGAUCUCACUUCAUAUUUUCACCCCUUAAUAUAUCAUGGACAUCUAUGCUAAUACCUACUGAUCUACUUUAAUCUUUUUCAUGGUCAUAUAGUGUUUCAUAAUAUGGAUGUUUCACAAUUUAUUAACCAGGCCCUGUGGACAUUUAGGCUCUUUUGAAAUUUGCUAUUACAUAAUUAAAAAGUAAACCUUUAUCCCAUUUCCUGGCAACAUUUUCCUCCCUAAGUUUUCCCCAGAAACUUUUGAAUUUUGGUAACUUUUCUCAUGCCAGUAAAAACUUUUAAGUACUUAUCUGUCUGUGUACUCCCUCUUUUUAUUCAGGAUGUCUUUUAUCCCUUCCAAGCGGCUGUAACCUGGGCUUCACAGUUGAGGAAGAAAGAUUGACAAGGCAACAUGCCAUUCAUGGGAGUAACUCAAGAAUGAUCAAAUAAUAGUGCAUAAAUCAAAUGCUAUUGGAAACUGCCUGGGAGAGUGAGAUAAAGCCCCACAGAUAAGACGACAUUUAUGCUGGAUCUUGAAAGGGGAAGAUAGUGCCAUCUUAUGGAGAGGCGCAAGUGGUCAGGAACUGAUGGAUCCAGCCAACAGCCAGAGAGGACCGUAGGCCUGCCUGCCAACCCGAGUGAUUGAGCUUGAAGGAGAAUUUUCCAGCCUUGAGAUGCCUGCAGUCCUGCCAACACCUUGGCUGCAGCCUUGUGAGAGACCCUGAGCCAGAGGACUCAGCUAAACGGCACCCAGAUUCCUAAUCCACAGAAACUGAGAAAAUAAGGGGUUUUUUUUUUGUUGUAAGCUGCUUAGUUUGGGGUAAUUUGUUACCCAACAAUAGAUUAAUACAAGGACAUUGAUUCCUCAAAAUCA